rnacentral:rRNA from 1 species
AUUGAACGCUGGCGGCAGGCCUAACACAUGCAAGUCGAGCGGAGCGGCGGACGGGUGAGUAAUGCCUAGGAAUCUGCCUGGUAGUGGGGGAUAACGUCCGGAAACGGGCGCUAAUACCGCAUACUAUCAAAUGAGCCUAGGUCGGAUUAGCUAGUAGGUGGGGUAACGGCCUACCAAGGCGACGACCCGGAACUGGUCUGAGAGGAUGAUCAGUCACACGUGAACUGAUACACGGUCCAGACUCCUACGGGAGGCAGCAGGGGGGAAUAUUGGACAAUGGACGAAAGCCUGAUCCAGCCAUGCCGCGUGUGGGAAGAAGGUCUUCGGAGUGUAAAGCACAUUAAGUUGGGAGGCGUUACCAACAGAAUAAGCACCGGCUAACUCCGUGCCAGCAGCCGCGGUAAUUC